UUUAUUUUUUUAUUUUUUUCUUUUUCUUUUCUUUUCUCCCUUCUUCUUCCUCCCGUGCGCCGCGACCGCCAUCCCUCCCUUCUCUCCGUUCGCGCAGCAACCGCCGCCGGCCAUCUCCAUCUUCUCUUCUCCUCUCCGCUCCGUCCAAACCCAGCCUCACCGUCGCGUCUCCCCUACUGAAGCCGAACGCCCGAUCUGUCGUCUCCAUCUCCGUUCGCGAAGCAAGACCGCGUCGUUGCUCUUCCGUCGCUGCCCAGUCCAGAUCUGCGUCGUCGUGCCCAGCCUCACCGCCGCUGCAACUGUUUCCGCGUCCUGCUCUGUCUCCGUCGAAGCCAAAGCCGCCGCGUGAACCAGUAACCGCCACGUCCUCCGCUCACAACCGCCUUCCAAGUCCUCGCCGCCGCUCGUGCUUCAUCCUGGUGGUUCGCAGUAACCCAGAUCCGCCGCUCGCAACCGUCGGCCGGUUCGUGUAGUCCUGCUGCGCAACCUCCGUUUCCAGCCGCCGCCCAUUCCGUUCUCUUCUGUUUUCUGCACUGCUGCGUCUGUCUUCACCUCCGUGAAGCCGUCGAUGCAUACAUCUUGUGAAGCCCGGUCGCCAUGUCAGAUCGUCGAUCGAUUUUGAGGCAGCCACCACGUCUCAUUUGGCCGACCGCUGACUGACCCACACUUAGGAUUUUUGCUGCGAGUUCGACAUUCGUGCGUUGAGGUGUUGGGAGUAACGUUAGGCUCCCUUACAUUCAAAACCGGUUUGUGAAGCUCCCUUACAUUCACAACCAGUUUGUGAAUUGUUGAAGGUUCAGUUCGCCAAUAUAUCGGAUUGUUUCGAAGACGUUAGUUGAUUAAGGAGCUUCCCUAACUUUGAGGCAAAGGUAAUAAAGGCGGCAAACCGGCGAGGGGCAGGAAGGAAGCGUGAUUGCCAUAG